UGCAGGUUCAANNAUGAGCGUUCGCCUCACACGCGAAAGGUCAGGGGUUCGAGCCCCCUUGCUUCCA
rnacentral:tRNA from 1 species